rnacentral:lncRNA from 1 species
CGUAUGAAGAUACCAAUUCGGAAGCCUGCAAAGAUGCAUUUCUUCACCAAGCAUCUGAACAUUCUUACAAUGGCAAAGAAUCUGAAGAUUCCUCAAGCAGCAAAGCAUCUGAAGGUUCGUCAAGUCACAAAGCAUAUGAAGAUUUGUCAAGCCGCAAAGCAUCUGAAGAUUUGUCAAGCCGCAAAGCAUCUGAAAAUUCGUCAAGCCGCAAAGCAUCUAGAAUUUCUAACAAUGGCAAAGCAUC